rnacentral:lncRNA from 1 species
GCAAACAUGACUCUUAACUUGGUGUUAGCAGACAACUAUGACCUUUAACUUUGUAUGUACACAAGUAGACACUUAAGCUUAUAUAAAAUUGAACAAAUAAAUCUAUUCCUCCUACAUGGCACCCUACAUGGCAAUUUUGUGUCCGAUGUGGCGUCUUACAUCUGUUAUGUCAUGUAGGAUAUGUGUAUCUACUUGUUUAAUUUUAUACAAGUUUAAGUAUCUAUUUGUAUACAGUCAAAGUUGGAAGAUAUAAUUAUCCGUUGAAUCCAAGUUAAGAAUUAUGUUUAUGUGUUAUGUCAUAAUUAAAAGACACUUCAAAUAGAGGAUAAAGAAUAUAUCUUUACCUUAAAAGAAGACUACUCCUAUAAGAUUUAAGAGCUUUCCUCAAUUAAACUAAUAAAUACUAGUAUUAAAUUAAUAUUCUGAUUAAGACAUCUAAAUUUCAAUAAUACAAACGGAAAGGAAAUGUCACGAUAAAAAAUGGGUGUGAUGACACUCGUCUUAUCCCACCAAGACAAGUCAGCCUAAAACUCAACCAUUACAAUAAAGUGCGAAAAUAAAAUAUAAGUAACUUAAUAAAAAAUCCAAAACCUGGUAGUCACGUGUACAAGCCUCUAAAGUAUUACAAUUGACACAAAAGAAAACUCAAGUCUCAAAUGAACUUGGUUUUAGAAUAUAACAAAAUCACAAUUAAGGAGAAGGAAGUCUGCUGAGAUGGAAACAGCUACCUCACAAAUCUCCAAGAAGCCUCGGAAAAGAAGAGAAUGACAAGUACAACAAAAAUCCAGGCUCAUAACCUACAAAAAUUUGUGGAAGCAAGGGGUGAGUACCAAACGACCCGAUUCUCAGCAAGUAAACCUCUAAACACAAGCUAAGGGGAUGAUAUACGGGUACUCCUACCAUCCCCAACCGAACCUCCACAACUACAACCUGCAUUAAAUCAACCCAACCUAACAGCUCAUAGUUUACAUAGCACGUAACUCAACAACAACUCUUAGACAAAUUACAUAUCCUCAACAACGACACUUGGACUAAUUACAUAUCCUCAUAACAACACUUUGGUAAAUUACAUAUCCUCAACAACAAUACUUUAGCAAAUUACAUAUCCUUAACAACAAUACCUUGCCAAAUUACAUAUCCUCAACAACAUCACUUUAACAAAUUUUAUAUCCUCAAGAACAAGCUCAGUAUUCAUCAAUCACAAGUUCCACAGAAAGGCAUUCACAAGAUCAGCAAAACACAAUAUCAAGUUCACUAAUGAUAAGCAUGUGCAAUGCAAUGGAAUGCAAUGUCAAGUAUAAUGAUGCAUGUCUGACCUAGUGAUACACACCCGCUGUCUCUCAGUCCGAGACCCAUGGGGGACAUAUCUGUCCAUGCAUAUGUCGCGGCGCACGACACGAUCCUCGAUAAUAGUAACCAUCACGGCAUGCGAUAAGUCCCUUGAAAUAUAGUAUCCAUCGCGGCGCGCGAUACGUCCCUCGAAAUGGUACAUCCUCUUAAGUACUCAUUCUUUCUCAAUGCACAUAACACUUGUAACAACCAAGGUCUCGGAAUAAUGCAGAUGACAAGCUCACACAAAUAAUGAGGAGAUGACCAUUUUCAUAACAUCGCACAGUUCACAACCACACAAACAUGAAGUCACAUCAACAAUGAUUCAACAAGCCUUCAACCCUUUCUCAACACAUCACAUAAACAAUUAAUCACAUCACCUUUUUUUAUCCCUUUUUUCAUCAUUAUAAUUAAUCAAUGUGGACAAGUCAACCCAUCACCAAUUCCAUUACUCCCAAACAUAUACCAUAAGGAAAUACACGCAUUUCAUACACUUAACAAUAGUUUAAAAAUCCACUUGCCUAAAUCAAAUCAAGAAUUCACUCCGAGACUUGAGCUUUCUCCUUUCGUUGAAUGUCCAACUCAUAGAAAUCUAUUCACAUUAAUGAUCACAAUAAGAUUUUGCGACUAACAACAACAUUUACACUACUAUGUGUUUAGAUUUUAACCAACAAUUUACCCUUAAUUUAUGAUCAAUUUCAUAAAUCAUGAGAUCAAUUAACAUGUCAAUCUUUUCAAAUUUUUUCAACUUUCAAAUCUAGGGUUAAGUCAUAAUUUCUCCAAAAAUUACAACUCUAAUGAUCUUCAUAUAAUAUAAUACAUCAAUAUUUAAUUACAUAUCUUAAUAUAUCAAACCUUGAAUUAUAACUUGAAAAUUAUAAGAAAUUUGUGGACCAAAACUAAACCCAUAAUCAUUAUAUAUGCAUACAUGCGGACCAGUGUAUAAGCUAAUUAGAACAAAAAUCUCAAUUUAUUCCAACACAAUUAUUUUGCUAUAAUUACCCAAUGAUUGCCAUAGUAAUUUUUCAAUGAUUGGCACUACAAUUUUCUCAAAUCUAUAUUAAUAUAGCAUAUACAAAUUUGGACGAGAAUUUGUGCAACUUAAUUUCCUUUCCUUUUAAUUUCCCACCAUUAUAAAUAUAAUAUAUUAUUAUAAUAAUACUUCAGUCACAUUUCAAUUAGGCGAGACUUUUACCUGAUGCAAUAGAUCGUCCGCCAUAGUUGUCGCCCAUAAAUGUUUCGUCUUUCUUUUUUCUUUCUUAAGUUAAUUGUUUAUGAAAAGUAACAAAUUCAUUAACCUUUUUUAAAUAUAGGCCAAGUGAAAUUAAAUAUUUCAUUAAUU